rnacentral:rRNA from 1 species
UACAGAGGGGGCUAGCGUUGUUCGGAAUUACUGGGCGUAAAGGGCGCGUAGGUGGCCUGUUAAGUCGAACGUGAAAUCCCCGGGCUUAACCUGGGAACUGCAUUUGUGACUGCAUCGCUGGAGUGCGGCAGAGGGGGAUGGAAUUCCGCGUGUAGCAGUGAAAUGCGUAGAUAUGCGGAGGAACACCGAUGGCGAAGGCAAUCCCCUGGGCCUGCACUGACGCUCAUGCACGAAAGCGUGGGGAGCAAACAGG